rnacentral:ncRNA from 1 species
AGAAUAACGUUGACGAGAAAAGUAGAGAUGUUUGAAAUCCAAAGAGAAGCUGAUAUUGGUGUGAUUCAGCUGGUUUUACUCAUCUUGAAAGUAGUCUCUGAGUUGUGAAUGCGAUGGAAAGAGUGUUCACUGGGGUCGCCCAUUACAGCGAUAGCGUAUGUUAGUACGUGAAGUGAUUGUUAUUUUAAUAAUGAUAAAUUGGGUGGUACCACGUGAAAGCGUCCCUUGA